GUUGAUAAUUUUACACUUUAAGAAUUCUGUAUUAUAAAGCAUAUUGCUCUUGCGGGAAUUCUUUCCAAUCCAAGGACUGAUUGAACUUUUCCCCACAAAUCUUCACAUUCUACUGUUUCUUUAUCCACAUCUUCCUCAACAACCGCAUCCACUGUAAAAGAGUCAAUUUAGCCAAUUAAAAAUUGGUACUUUAUAAAUACACCA